GCCUCUGUAGCUCAGUUGGUAGAGCGCGGCGUGAGUUGAAUUUACCUGCGGAACAUUUUGAAAUAUCAAAGUACUAAUUUCCAAUACAGACUAGUAGAUUAUACAGUGAUGCCGAGGUCUUGAGUUCGACUCUCAACGGAGGCA